rnacentral:rRNA from 1 species
UCGCCUGUUUAUCAAAAACAUGGUUUCUUGAAAUUAGUAUAAAUAAGAGAUUUAACCUGCCCACUGAAUAUAUUUUUGAAGGGCCGCAGUAUUUUGACUGUGCAAAGGUAGCAUAAUCAUUAGUCUUUUAAUUGAAGGCUGGUAUGAAUGGUUGGAUGAGGUGAAUUCUGUUUUAUUAUAAUUUAAGUUGAAUUUAGGUUUUAAGUAAAAAAACUUAAAUAUUAUUAAGGGACGAGAAGACCCUAUAGAGUUUAAUAAGUGUAGUAAUUAAUUGAGUUAUUAAAUAGAAGAAUUUUUAGUUAAUAUGAAAUUUAUUUAAUUGGGGUGAUUAGAAGAUAAAAUUAACUCUUCUUUAAAUUUAAUAUUAUGGUUAGAUAAAUGGUCCAUAUUUGAUGAUUAAAAGAUUAAAUUACCUUAGGGAUAACAGCAUAAUUCUUUUUGAGAGUUCAUAUCGAAAAAGGAGAUUGUGACCUCGAUGUUGGAUUAAGAUUAGUUUUGGGUGUAGAUGUUCAAUAACUAGGUCUGUUCGACCUUGAAAAUCUUACAUGAUCUGAGUUCAAACCGGAGA